GACGAACGCUGGCGGCGUGCUUAACACAUGCAAGUCGAACGAAGUGGCGAACGGGUGAGUAACGCGUAAUCAACCUGCCCUUCAGAGGGGGACAACAGUUGGAAACGACUGCUAAUACCGCAUACGGAUGGAGGGGUUUGCGUCUUAUUAGCUAGUCGGGGGGGUAACGGCCCACCAAGGCGAUGAUCAGUAGCCGGUCUGGGGGGGUGAACGGCCACAUUGGGACUGGGACACGGCCCAGACUCCUACGGGAGGGAGCAGUGGGGAAUCUUCCGCAAUGGACGGAAGUCUGACGGAGCAACGCCGCGUGAGUGAUGACGGCCUUCGGGUUGUAAAGCUCUGUUAAUCGGGACGCGGUACCGGAAUAGAAAGCCACGGCUAACUACGUGCCAGCAGCCGCGGUAAUAC
rnacentral:rRNA from 1 species